rnacentral:tRNA from 3 species
CGGGAUAGCUCAGUUGG